AGAGUUUGAUCCUGGCUCAGGACGAACGCUGGCGGCGUGCUUAACACAUGCAAGUCGAACGAGGUCUUCGGACCUAGUGGCGAACGGGUGAGUAACACGUGAGGAACGUGCCCCAGAGACCGGGAUAAGCCGAGGAAACUUGGUCUAAUACCGGAUGUCCCCACCGGAUCGCAUGGUCUGGUGAGGAAAUGGAUUCCGCUCUGGGAGCGCCUCGCGGCCUAUCAGCUAGUUGGUGAGGUAACGGCUCACCAAGGCGUCGACGGGUAGCUGGUCUGAGAGGAUGAUCAGCCACACUGGGACUGAGACACGGCCCAGACUCCUACGGGAGGCAGCAGCCAGGAAUCUUGGGCAAUGGGCGAAAGCCUGACCCAGCAACACCGUGUGGGCGACGAAGGCCUUAGGGUCGUAAAGCCCUGUUGAUAGGGACGAAGGGCGAAGGGUUAAUAGCCCCUAGCUUGACGGUACCUUUCGAGGAAGCCCCGGCUAACUACGUGCCAGCAGCCGCGGUAAUACGUAGGGGGCGAGCGUUGUCCGGAAUUAUUGGGCGUAAAGAGCGUGUAGGCGGUUCGGUAAGUCUGCUGUGAAAUCCUGGGGCUCAACCCUGGGCGUGCAGCGGAUACUGCCGGGCUAGAGGGUGGUAGAGGCGAGUGGAAUUCCGAGUGUAGCGGUGAAAUGCGCAGAUAUUCGGAGGAACACCAGUAGCGAAGGCGGCUCGCUGGGCCACACCUGACGCUGAGACGCGAAAGCGUGGGGAGCGAACAGGAUUAGAUACCCCUGUAGUCC
rnacentral:rRNA from 1 species